AUUGAACGCUGGCGGCAUGCUUUACACAUGCAAGUCGAACGGUAACAGGCCUUCGGGUGCUGACGAGUGGCGAACGGGUGAGUAAUGCAUCGGAACGUACCCAGAGGUGGGGGAUAACGCAGCGAAAGCUGUGCUAAUACCGCAUGUGAUCUGAGGAUGAAAGCGGGGGACCGAGCAGCAAUGUUUGGCCUCGCGCCUUUGGAGCGGCCGAUGUCGGAUUAGCUAGUUGGUGGGGUAAAGGCCUACCAAGGCGACGAUCCGUAGCUGGUCUGAGAGGACGACCAGCCACACUGGGACUGAGACACGGCCCAGACUCCUACGGGAGGCAGCAGUGGGGAAUUUUGGACAAUGGGCGCAAGCCUGAUCCAGCAAUGCCGCGUGCGGGAAGAAGGCCUUCGGGUUGUAAACCGCUUUUGGCAGGAACGAAACGGUGUCCGCUAAUACCGGGCGCUAAUGACGAUACCUGCAGAAUAAGCACCGGCUAACUACGUG
rnacentral:rRNA from 1 species